CACCCUAUAAUACACAAAUGCUCCACCAGCAAGUUCAAAGUGGUUGCUAUUCCUGCUCAGCUGGCCCAAUCCACAUAAUGUCAUUGAUAUAAAGGGCCAGUGUGACAUCAUGUGGGAGAGAAAGUUGAUCAAGGUCCCUGUGAACUAAGCUGUGUCACAGUGCUGGAGAGUUGACAUUCCCUGAGGAGGACACUGAAGGUACAUUUCUGGCUUUGCCAGCUGAAGACAAAUUGUUUCUGGUGGUUCUUUUGCACUGGGAUGGAAACAGAAGCAUUUUCCCAAUCAAUAGCCACAUACCAGGUACCAGGAGAUGUAUUGAUCUGCUCAAGCAAAGAAACCACAUCUGGUCCAGCAGGUGCAAUUGGAGUCACCACCUGAUUAAGCUUACGAUAAUCAACUGUCAUUCUCCAGCUGUCUUCAGCACAGGCCAAAUAGGAGAUCCAGUUCUGGUGAAGUGCACAUCUUCUGGACCCCCACAGUAUGGAGGAGAAGGUCACACCUGACAGAUCCACUCCUGCAUUCCAAUUUUCCUGAGCCUCUGAAUUGCCUCAUCAACAAUAAAUCAAGGGUUGUCCAGCAUUUCAGCUCAUUUAUAGUGGGCCAUCUUUGGGCUCAUACUUCAGCUAAAACUUUUUAAACACUGUGAGCUAUUACAUUAAAUCUAGUAUCUCUUCUUAUGGGCCAGUAUCAAUAAAUCCUGCAUGAUAUAA